GCCGCCUUAGCUCAGUCGGUAGAGCGAUCACCUGAGGUCAGGAGUUCGAUUCUCCUAGGCGGCUCCA
rnacentral:tRNA from 1 species